rnacentral:lncRNA from 1 species
AAAAAAAAAAAAAAAGGCAAAAUUCUGUUCCUUUCUAGAAUGACUGAAGACUUUCAGCCACUAAAUAAUUUCCUCUUUAGUUGGUUUUCCAACUUAAAAAAAAUCAAACCUAGAGAAAUAUUUAAAGAAUAAUAUACCCAUAUAUAGGCUCACCAUUUUGCCACAUUCCCUUAUAUCCCAAUCGUAGCCUUUCAGCUUGGAAUGUAACUGAAAAGGACAUUUGAUUCAACUGUCACCUCAUACGCAAACUCACCCCAAGGGGUCAUCCAGCCUCUACUUCCAGAUCUCUGGUAAUGGAGAGCUCCACUGUCUUUGAGCCAGCCCCUUCUGUUUUUAGGGGCCUCUGGUUGUCACUAAGUUUGUGCUUAGAAUAAACUGAAACCUGGCCCUUCUUAACUUCCCUCAGUUGGGCUUUAUAUAACCCUCUAGCCAGACAAACUAAUUCUAGUUCUUUCUCACAUGACAGCUUUUAAAACAUUCGAAGGCAGUCCUCAUGUCCUCUUUCUUACUUUAAGGGAAGAAAGACUUACCAACCCUGAUUCUUUCAUCCAUGUUUCUUUUUUUUCUUUUUUCUUUUUCUUUUUGGCCAUGCUCAUGGCAUGAAGAAGUGCCCAGGCCAGAGACUGAAUUUGCAUCACAGCAGUGACCCAAGCCCCAGCAGUGACACACUGUAUCCUUAAUCCACUGAGCCACCAGGGAACUCCUCAACCAUGAUUCAUUCGGAGUGGUAAAGAAUCUUUCCUCAAUUGGGUAGUAGGUUCACACAUUUAUACAAUAUCACUCAAAGUCGGCAAGACUAUGAGGCUUCUUAAUUUUCUCUAAUGGAUAUAAUUUCCCUCACUGGUCAUGCUAGGUAACUCAGUCUCUUUGGGGUGUUUGAGAGUCCCUAAGACCAACUUCCAUUUCAAUAAUUUACUGGAAGAUUCACAGAACUCACUGAACUCUGUCUUACUCGUGAUUACAGCUUAUUAUAGCAAAAAGUUACAGAUUAAAAUUGGCCAAGGGAAGCGAUGCCUGGGGCAGAGUCCAGAAUUUCAAACACAAACCUUCUAGUGGCCCUCUCCCAGUGGAGUCUCUGACAGUGCUAACUCCUCCCAGCCACGGCGUGUAACAGUGUGCAGUGUUGCCAGCCUGUGAAUCUCGCCUGAGCCAUGAUCUCCAGAGUUUUUACUGGCACUCUGUCACAUAAUUAUGGUUGACCACCUGCAUCUUAGCUUCCAGCCUCUCCCAGAGAUGGAGCUGAUGAGGUGGCCCAAAGGCCCCACCGUGAAUCAUAUUGUUAGCAUAGACUAUCCCGUGUGCUCUGCAGCUCCCAGGUAAACAAAGACACUCUUAUCAGGCAGGACAUUCCAAGGUUUAGAGAUUACUUCUCAGCAAAGACCACACUUCUAUUUGUGAACAAUUAUUUUCCAAAGAGGAUAGAUGAGCCAAUUUUUCAGUUUCCUUUCUGUGCAUUUCCCACUUCUCUGUGAGCGCAGUGUCUGGGCUUGUGCACUCCAUUGUGACAAGAGAGAUGGGCCUCUCAGAGUUCUGAACAAAGACUAGGGCACAUGUUCCCUCUGCUUGUGUGUCUCGUUCUCCCUCAGUUUAUGUUCCAUCUCUCCUUCCAUCUUCUUCCAAAUUGUGACCCUGGAGAGGACAUACUUGCAUGUCCUUUUGCCUUCUGUUAUUUUUCCUGUAAUCUAUCAGGCCAGAAGGAAGGAAUUCAUUUACAUCAUGUUUUCCUUUAUCUUGAUUAAGGAUUUUCUCAGGCUAUACUUACUAAAUGGCUACAGGAAACCAGAUUUAUAAAAGGAGAGAAAGAAAAAUGUUUUUACAAUAUUAUCUCAAUUAUAUAAAGUGUUUGGCAACAAUGAGGGCCUGGAAGCACUGAGAAUAGGAAAACCUCUGCUCUCCCAUUUUCCUUUCCCUUACUUUCCAUCUUCCUUAUUGCCUAAAGUGCUCACAAAUAGCUUAGCAAUGUCAAGGUCUUGGUUUUGGAAUGGGAAGCAAUUCAUGAUUCACUAGAAUGUCAUUUCCCAUGGUAAUGAUAAUAGCUUCUAUUUAUUUGAACACUGUAGCCAAGUACUGUGCAGACUUGAUUCUCCCCAAAGUGCUCUUAUUAUCCCCUUUUACAGAUAAGAAAAUUGAGUCUCAGAGAAUUUAAGUAAUUUGCCCAAGUCUUACAGCUGGUGAGUGGUGUCACUAAAAUUUAAACCCAGAGUCAUCUUACUACAUAGACCAGUGCACUAAUUAACCACCUCUCGGAACUGCCCUUCGAUGAGGCUUUCAUAUUUCAGCUUUCCUUGUUAUUGCCAUAUGAGGGCCUUCAGUAAAGCACAAUUGCACUCGCAGUUUUGCAAGCUUCCCAGUAUCUCUUCAUGAUAGACUGGUAAGUGCAGCUUUUAAAACCUGGUCUAGUUUUGGCAAGCACCCCAAAAAUGCUGCUGGGAUUACUGAAGGAAUCAGCCACUUGGGAUUCUACCUUCCUAAUCACUUCUUGAGGGAACUUGUAAUGAAUCUAAUUGGAAGCAUCUACUCGAUUCCCUACAGGAUUAUGACACAUAAACCAGUAGCAGGAAAGGUACUAAAAUCAAUAAAUGAGAAAGAGAGAGAGGAGAAAGUUGAAAACAGAGAGCUAAGACCAGGAAGGCAGGUAGGACACUGACUUUGCGGCUCAGAUAGGAAGUCUUGAGCACUUUUUGAUUAGUGCUGUACUUGCAGAAGAAAUUUAUGAUUUGGAUAUAGGAACCUUGGGUGUAUAUUUUUCUUUUGACAUUUGAUAAGCUAAACUAUGGGAAUUUCUGUGGAUGCUGAUUACCAAUGUGCAGUGCUGAUCUAUUUAAAGGGCAGCACUGCUGGCAGACUUUAGAUCAUACCAAGAAUCUUGGCUGUGUGACCGUGAUCAAGAUCGUCCCGAGGCCUCUAUUAAGUUAGUCCUUUAUCUGUUGAAGAGUUGAUCUGGGCUUGAAGGAUGGGUAGGAUUUUGAUGGGUAGAAAUGAUGGGGCUGAACAUUAUAGAUGGAGUCAAUGGUAAGCAGUGACCUAAGAUGGGAAAAUAUGGCACAUGUUUGGGGCACAGGGAGUUUUUUCUUCAGCCAGAAUCUCAGAUGGAGAAAGGAAAGAGAGAGAGACAAACCCAGAAGAGUAGAACAGGAACAAAUUGUGUAAAAUGAUGACUGCUAGGGCCCUAGGAAUAGUUCACAGUGGGAACCUCCAGUAGCACAGAACCUCCAGUAGCAUAGAAAUUCUGGGAGUAGGAAAAGUAGUGAGGUUCUGAGCUUGAGGAGACAGAAAGGAGAGCAUCUUUAUAUUUGCUCCUUCAUUGGCUACUAUGGUAAGACAGUCCUUCAAUCGACUUCUGUCUCACGAUUGUCCCACCAUGAGUGUUUUGCUGGUUGCUCCUCUUGGUGAACCUCCACCAUCCACCAGACUUGUGUCUUUUGUCUUCCUCUCCUCUUUUUCUGUCUCCUCUCCUUUCAUUAUAUAUCCUGACAAUGUCUAUUUAUUUAUUUAUUUUCUUUUUAUGGACUUUCACGAUAUGUCCGGGAUAUGGACUUUCCCAGGCCAGAGAUCAAAUCAGAGCUAUAGUUGCAGGCCUAUGCCACAGCCAUGGCAACACUGGAUCCAAGCCGCAUCUAAGACCUGUGCUGCAACUUGUGCAUAACCCACUGAGCCAGGCCAGGGAUCGAACCUGUAUCUUCAGAGACAACACUGCGUCCUUAACCUGCUGAACUACAAUGGGAAUUCCUAGACAGUCUUUUGCUUUGGCCGGCAACAUUCUCUUACACAGAGUAAGGUCAGUGGUCAGACUGCAGAGGUUAAGAGAGUGACUCAGAAGUAGGGGCAGUGGCAGUCAAUGAAGGUAGAGGAGAAAAAAAGGUAGGAUUUUUUCUCCUACCUUUUUGAAGGUAGAGGAGAAAAAAAAUCAGGAUUGUUAAAUAAUCCUGGUCAUUUAAAUAAUUAAAUAAUUUAGAAGGAAGUGAAGUCUGGAGGAAGCUAUAGAGUGUUACAAGGAAGCAAUUCAUGUGCAAAGUAAGUCUGAAGGCAGCAAGAGUUGAAAUUUAAGUGAUCAGGUUAAAAGGCUUGUCUGAAUAAAUUGAAGCAACUCAAAAUUAACUCCUUUAAUCUCUCCUCAUGUUAAAAGAUCCCCCUCUAAAGAAAUAUUUUCUCAACUCUUUCCAACAUAUGUUGUAAAGCCAAAACAGCAAAAACCUGAAAUCCAUUUUGUCAUAGGUUUAAUAAGUCAAUCAUCUCGAUGUUCAGUCUAUGUGAAAUCAAAUGUGCAGAUGGACUGAAUUGUUAAAUGAAAUUUUCCAUCCCAUCAAUGUCUAAUUUUUGUCUUAUCAUCUCCAUGGAAUCAUCACCACCUCUGUGAAUUCACAAUAAUUGCUGCUUCUCAGAGCUCUCAGAUCUUAUUUCUGAGUUGAGUCAUGCAUUCUAGAUGGCGGCCUGAGGAGCAAAUUUUUUUUGGGGGGGGGUCUUUAUUUUGCCUUUUCUAGGGCCGCUCCCUCAGCAUAUGGAGGUUCCCAGGCUAGGGGUCUAAUCUCAGCCGUAGCUGCUGGCCUACACCACAGCCACAGCAACGGAGGAUUCGAGCAGCAUCUGCAGCCUACACCACAGCUCACGGAAAUGCCAGAUCCUUAACCCACUGAGCGAGGACAGGGAUGGAACCCACAACCUCAUUGUUCCUAGUGGGAUUUGUUAACCACUGAGCCAUGACGGGCACUCCCUGAGGAGCAUUUUUAAAUCCAUGUAUAUAUUCUAAAUUAUUUUUUCUUCCUUUUAACACAACAAGGCAUUUGUAUAAUAAUUCUUUAUUUCUCUUUAAGAUGUAAGUAUUUGUAAUGGGUACUUUUUUUUCCAAGCAACUGUGGCUAGGAGUACAAAAAAAAAAUCUGCUGAUAUAAUGUUAUUCUAACUCAUUUCCUUCAGGGUAUGACUGUUCCUUUUUAACAGCAACCACCACCACUGUUGUUGUUAUUAUUAUAAGAAUAAUGAAGAUAAGUCUUAAAAUGCAAAUAUCCUUAAGAGGGGGUUUAUUUUAAAAUGAACAUUUCUAUUAAGGAACAAACAGUACAGAUUUGAUCGCUUUUUAAAGAUAAGAUUUGAGAGGGAAGAUUCUCAGCUCUGGAAAGGAGAUGAGAAGCACAAAGAAAGGCUUGAAGCAACUGAUUAGGCUCCCAGAAGGGUAGAGAAACCACAAACCAGUCUAGAUUUACUUCCCAGUUUUAGGGCCAUCCGUGUUAAAGCUAAACAUUAAAAUCGAGUGCACUUCUUUGUUUUCCUUUCUUUAAAUUUGAAAUCCCAGUUAUCAGAUAUCUUCACUAAAUGUGAUGCUCUUUUGUUUUCACCGCUAUACACAGAUAAAGCUAUAUUUAUAGUCUGCCAGUAGAUUGGAAUAAAUUGAGUUUAAAAUGAUUUUCAGGGAUAUUAUAAAAUGUGUUGACUGCUUUGAAAAGAACCAAAGCAACUCUGAACAAUGCCCAUGGAAAAUUACUUU